AUGGAGAUACGCUCAGCAGUCGCUGCCUCCUUCGUCCUACUACUAUUAUCACUUUCCAGCUUCCUAAAGCUGUCUGCUGGCGCCGAGCUCUUCUCGUGGCAGUGCUACAACGGUUCGAGCUACAAGGAGAACGGCACCUACCAGUCCAACGUCCGCAGCCUCCUCGCAUCCCUCGCCGCCAACGCCUCCCGGUCACAGUCCCUGUUCGCUACCACCGUCGUCGGCACCAGCUCCGACACGGUGUGGGGCCUCGGGCUAUGCCGCCGCGAUAUCACCAACGGCACCGAGUGCGAGUCCUGCCUCGCCCUCGCGCCAGUGGUCGCGUUCGGCAGUGGUGAUUACUGCAAGGGCGUCAAGGAUGUGUCCAUCUUCUACGACCGCUGCAUCGUCCGUUACUCCCCCCACGACUUCCUGACCAGCCCAGACAACCGGCAGGUGCAGUCCAGGGGGCCCAGCAAGGAAGCUGUCAUCCCACACGACGCCGCCAAUCGGUACGACGCGCUCAUGGUGAGCCUCGCCGUCGCUCUCGCCAAGUCAGCGGCGUUCAAUACCACGUCCAGGUACGCCACCGGGGUCAUGGUCUCCGACCAGGGGUUCACGACCAACGCCAGCGAUGACGUGGUGCGCACGAUCUACGGGCUGGUGCAGUGCACGCCGCGGGGCCCUUGCCUGGAGUGCCUGCAAGGGCUCGUAGACGGGAUGAAGUUCAACGGCAGCGUCGGGGGGCAUAUCUUCGGCAUAUGGUGCAACAUCAGGUUCGAAAAGCAAGUCUUUUACGAUGGCAGCCCCAUGCUGAACCUCAUCGCCCCGCCGCCGACGCCACCUUCUUCUCCCCUCCCGUAUGGUACAACAGACGGGACAAGGUGGCGACAACGCGCCGCGACGGUAUCCACCAUUGUUCUUGGCGUCGCAGUUAUCCUCCUGUCCAUAACUGUAGUCUUCCUAUGGAGAAACAAGGCUACAACACAACUCUCUUACCAGGAAGAUGGCGACGACCCUGAAUCACUUCUGUUUGAUCUGACAACCUUAAGACGCGCAACUGACAAUUUUGCCCAAGAGAAUAAGCUUGGGCAUGGAGGCUUUGGCGCAGUAUACAAGGGCGUAUUGCCUCAUGGACGGGAAAUAGCUGUAAAAAGAUUAGACAAAGCUUCAGGGCAAGGUCUGAAGGAGUUGAGAAACGAGCUACUGUUGGUGGCGAAGCUGAAGCACAACAAUCUCACAAAGCUUCUCGGCGUGUGCUUGAAAGGAGAAGAGAAGUUACUUGUGUACGAGUACCUGCCCAACCGAAGCCUGGACACCUUCCUUUUUGCACCUGAAAUUGAGAAGCGUCUGCUGCUGAGCUGGGAGAUAAGGUUCCGUAUAAUCUAUGGGACGGCACGAGGUCUCUUAUACCUUCAUGAGGACUCACAGAUAAAGAUCAUACACCGUGAUCUCAAGGCUAGCAACAUCUUGCUCGACACCGACAUGAACCCCAAGAUCUCGGAUUUUGGCCUGGCAAGGCUCUUCAACAGUGACAAGCCGAGUACCACCACGGGCCAAGUCGUCGGAACAUUAGGAUACAUGGCCCCGGAGUACGCGGUUCUGGGGCACCUGUCGGUCAAGAUAGACGUGUACAGGUUCGGCGUGCUGGUCCUGGAGAUUGUUACGGGCAGGAAAAAUACAGACGCAUUUGAAGAAUCAUCUGCGGGAGAGUCCGGCACUCUGCUCAACUAUGUGUGGGAUCAGUGGUCCAAGGGAACGGCGCUGGCGACGAUGGAUCCAAUGUUGGAGUGCAUGGUUGCGGAGGAGGGCGAGGUGAUGAAAUGCGUCCACCUGGGGCUCCUCUGCGUCCAGGAGAACCCGGCGGACCGGCCGACCAUGCUGGAGGUUCUCGUGAUGCUGCAUGGCCACGCGUCGAGCUUCGUGGCGCCGUCGAAGCCUGCAUUCACCUUCACCUUCGCGAGCUCGACGGACGACAUUGUGCUGUCCGCAUCAGAUCCAGGCGUCCAAAGUGCAUCGGCCACGCCGUCCGUCAACGAGAUGUCGGUAUCAGAGUUCGAGCCUAGAUAG
rnacentral:rRNA from 1 species